rnacentral:tRNA from 1 species
GGCCUCGUAGCUGAGUUAGCUGGAGCGUUGGCUGUACUAAAGCCUUCCCCAUGCUGCUGUGGGUUCGAAUCCCACCGAGGCCG